CCCGGAUAGCUCAGUCGGUAGAGCAGAGGAUUGAAAAUCCUCGUGUCGGUGGUUCGAUUCC
rnacentral:tRNA from 1 species